rnacentral:rRNA from 1 species
GGGGAAUAUUGCACAAUGGACGAAAGUCUGACGGAGCAACGCCGCGUGAGUGAUGAAGGUUUUCGGAUCGUAAAGCUCUGUUGCCAGGGAAGAACGUCUUCUGGAGUAACUGCCAGGAGAGUGACGGUACCUGAGAAGAAAGCCCCGGCUAACUACGUGCCAGCAGCCGCGGUAAUACGUAGGGGGCAAGCGUUGUCCGGAAUUAUUGGGCGUAAAGCGCGCGCAGGCGGCUGUUUAAGUCUGGUGUAUAAUCCUGGGGCUCAACUCCGGGUCGCACUGGAAACUGGAUGGCUUGAGUGCAGAAGAGGAGAGUGGAAUUCCACGUGUAGCGGUGAAAUGCGUAGAGAUGUGGAGGAACACCAGUGGCGAAGGCGACUCUCUGGGCUGUAACUGACGCUGAGGCGCGAAAGCGUGGGGAGCAAAC